UUUCAUUUCAUAACCUUCUUCUUCUUGUGGUUGCGAUUUGUUUCUUCAAUAUCUUUGAGCAGUGACGGUAAGUUUUGCUAUUAUAGCUUCCAUCCUAUUGUUGUUCUUUGUCUAAUGGGAGUUCUAUUUCUGGUUAGGAGACCUUUAGGCAACUGUAGGAAUUUCGAGAGGUGACGUUUAAUUGCAAAUCCACUGUGGUUCGUUGAAGGUAAGGUUGUCUAUAGUUUCUGAAAAUUGUUUGUUCUUAAUGCUUCGUUUAAAAGUGACUGAUUAGAGGGUUACUUCUGUUUCCUGCUUGGUUGCAGUCGAAUUAUUGUUCCUUUGGCCUCUGUCUUUGCCUCUUUCAAUAGUCAUUUACGUUUUCGCGCAUUCAGAUUUGAUCAAAGAGUAGUGGGUUGUUGAUUGACACUUUGGCAGUAGGGAAUCGCCAUUCUGUUUUCGCCUGUCAUCUUAGAGUGCUCGUGGUUGGGUUAGCAGCGGAAAUAAACCAGGUGUGUAACCACAACACUAUAAACGAAAAUCGGUGAAAAUCUAAAAAGUGAGACUGUCGACGCCACACGGGCGUGCGAUCGACGAGGUUGGCCGUGUGCGAUACACGAGCCGGACCGAAUUGGGCCAUGUGGGCCACACGAGUAUGUGGGCCCACACGGGUGAAUCACACUAUCAUGUGAAAUUUUUGGGCCAGGUCGUGUGAGCUACAUGACCAAGGCUAUUUUGGGCCAUGUGGCCCAUACGCCCAUGGACUUGUAGGCCCAUUUUCACUGCUUAAUUGCUAAGGUUGCACGGGUCGCCCGAGUCAACUGUGGACCUACUAAAGGGUCAGUAAGCUUACCUAGACCCUUAAUUGACUGAAUGACUGUUAUAUCCAUAUGCGAUAUAUAUAUUUAUGACUGUAUAUUGAACAUGCUAUAAAACUGUACUGAAUACAUGUAUGAUACCAUGAUUUGACAUGACAUGAUUGUAUGAUGCAUAGCAUAGGGAUGGGUUUAUAUUGAUCGAAGGAAGUGUAUUGAAAGACUUCAAGCCUAACUUACUGCCAGCUCAGCUGCAUAUUAUUGUAUAGUUUCGCAUUCGAUGCUACUUGGAGUGUAGGGAUGGGUGGGUUGAUUAUAUCCCCACAUGGAGUGUAGGGUUGGACGAAGAUGGAGUGUAGAGGCUGGCUGGGUAGGAUUUUAUGAUCGCAUAACUGAUACUGUACUGAUUACUGAUUUUGUAAUGGGCCAAGGCCUUAAUGCAUGACUGCACCUGUACUGAGAUGGGCUAAGGCCCUAACUGAAACUAGAUUUGAUAUUGAAAAAGGGCUUAGGCCCAGAUUGUGAUUGCUUUUUGUCUGCUUGUAUAUAUGGGAUUACACGCUGAGUUUUCGUAUACUCACCCUUUUGAUUUAUCUGUACAGGUAAUCCCCAGUCAUAGGAGGAUCGAUGCAAUGGAGGACUCAACGGUGGCCACAC
rnacentral:lncRNA from 1 species